rnacentral:rRNA from 1 species
GUACCAGACUCCUACGGGAGGCAGCAGUGGGGAAUAUUGGGCAAUGGGCGCAAGCCUGACCCAGCAACGCCGCGUGAAGGAAGAAGGCUUUCGGGUUGUAAACUUCUUUUAAGAGGGAAGAGCAGAAGACGGUACCUCUUGAAUAAGCCACGGCUAACUACGUGCCAGCAGCCGCGGUAAUACGUAGGUGGCAAGCGUUGUCCGGAUUUACUGGGUGUAAAGGGCGUGUAGCCGGGCUGACAAGUCAGAUGUGAAAUUCCGGGGCUCAACCCCGGACCUGCAUUUGAAACUGUUGGUCUUGAGUAUCGGAGAGGCAGGCGGAAUUCCUAGUGUAGCGGUGAAAUGCGUGGAUAUAAGGAAGAACACCAGUGGCGAAGGCGGAUGACUGGACGGCAACUGACGGUGAGGCGCGAAAGCGUGGGGAGCAAACAGGAUUAGAUACCCGAGUA